CCUACGGGAGGCAGCAGUGAGGAAUAUUGGUCAAUGGACGAGAGUCUGAACCAGCCAAGUAGCGUGAAGGAUGACUGCCCUAUGGGUUGUAAACUUCUUUUAUAUGGGAAUAAAAUGUUCCACGUGUGGGAUUUUGUAUGUACCAUAUGAAUAAGGAUCGGCUAACUCCGUGCCAGCAGCCGCGGUAAUACGGAGGAUCCGAGCGUUAUCCGGAUUUAUUGGGUUUAAAGGGAGCGUAGGUGGAUUGUUAAGUCAGUUGUGAAAGUUUGCGGCUCAACCGUAAAAUUGCAGUUGAAACUGGCAGUCUUGAGUACAGUAGAGGUGGGCGGAAUUCGUGGUGUAGCGGUGAAAUGCUUAGAUGUCACGAAGAACUCCGAUUGCGAAGGCAGUUCACUGGACUGCAACUGACACUGAGGCUCGAAAGUGUGGGUAUCAAACAGGAUUAGAUACCCGUGUAGUC
rnacentral:rRNA from 1 species